CGAACUUGCGGGAGCUUGCUCCCAAAAGUUAGCGGCGGACGGGUGAGUAACACGUGGGCAACCUGCCUGUAAGACUGGGAUAACUUCGGGAAACCGGAGCUAAUACCGGAUAAUUCUUUUCUGCUCAUGCAGGAAAGCUGAAAGAUGGUUUCGGCUAUCACUUACAGAUGGGCCCGCGGCGCAUUAGCUAGUUGGUGAGGUAACGGCUCACCAAGGCAACGAUGCGUAGCCGACCUGAGAGGGUGAUCGGCCACACUGGGACUGAGACACGGCCCAGACUCCUACGGGAGGCAGCAGUAGGGAAUCUUCCGCAAUGGACGAAAGUCUGACGGAGCAACGCCGCGUGAGUGAUGAAGGUUUUCGGAUCGUAAAACUCUGUUGUUAGGGAAGAACAAGUACCGGAGUAACUGCCGGUACCUUGACGGUACCUAACCAGAAAGCCACGGCUAACUACGUGCCAGCAGCCGCGGUAGUACGUAGGUGGCAAGCGUUGUCCGGAAUUAUUGGGCGUAAAGCGCGCGCAGGCGGUCCUUUAAGUCUGAUGUGAAAGCCCACGGCUCAACCGUGGAGGGUCAUUGAAAACUGGGGGACUUGGGUGCAGAAGAGGAGAGUGGAAUUCCACGUGUAGCGGUGAAAUGCGUAGAGAUGUGGAGGAACACCAGUGGCGAAGGCGACUCUCUGGUCUGUAACUGACGCUGAGGCGCGAAAGCGUGGGGAGCGAACAGGAUUAGAUACCCUGGUAGUCCACGCCGUAAACGAUGAGUGCUAAGUGUUAGAGGGUUUCCGCCCUUUAGUGCUGCA
rnacentral:rRNA from 1 species